GUAUUUGCAUAGCUUCUGCGAGGUUGACUCUUACAGAUCCACCUCCUUAAGAGGGCGGAUCAAACAGGCAGCCGCUAAUCAAGCUGAAAGAACCUUCAGGCUGUAAAUCAGUCCACAGGCGACUCCCUGCUUCGUUUCAAGCCAAGCAGCAGGGCUAAAAAAUUAGCAAGGGAUUGAACUACAACAACAAAAAAUCUGGGCAGACGGAGCGGGGAGAAGGCACUUUUUUGAGUGUGUGUGUGUGUGUGUGUGCAUAGGUGGAACUGGGGUGGGGCAGGCAGGGCACGUGCCCCAGGCACCAUUGAGGUGGGGGCGCCAUACCAGUCCCUGCCACCCCCACCCCAUUGCCCACCUGCCCAGCCCCAGGGCCCCUCAGCCACUUGCCUCCAGCUCCGGCCUAGGAUCGGCAACGAGGCCUAGGAUCGGAGCCGCCUGCAAACUGCAGAGCUCUUCUCUCCCCGCCUCUCAGCUGAUCGGCGGGUGGGCCGGGCUUCCAGAGAGGCCUCCGAGUAGGCCUCCCUGAAGCCUGAACUCGGCAGGCCCCAGCAAGCCAGGAAGGAGGCUGGCAGAGCUCCCUGCAGCAGACCCUCCCUGCAGCAGACCAGACCAUCCAGCACAGCUUUUGCAAGAUAGACCUGACAUGUGGGCAAAGUGCCUCGAUUGCAUUGCAGAGUUGGGAGAUUCCGUGCCUUCUGGGAGGCAGCUUUAUGAGAAAAUUUUUCAUCUCUUCUAUGAAAAACAUAGUAACAUCAAGAACCCCUGAAAGGAGACGUGGACAAAAGAAGAGAUCAAUAUCAGCGGCUAUACCAUUUAUUCACCGAAAGCUCACUCAGACACUGAUAGAGGAAGGCUGAAGCUAUCUGAAAGUUUGGCUGUAUGGUUCCUUUUCCCAAAAUGACUGGAGAAUCAAGGAGUACAUGAGACACUUACGGGAUGACAGCAGUUUUGCUCUGGCAAAUAAGAGGACUAUGGACUAAAACGUAUGUGCAUUUCUGCAAACUCCACAGCCUAGUGCAAAUUCCUCACCAGUGGGCGGAUGGACUACGUGAAGGGGACAUUCUGUUCCUUCAAGCUGCUUACCCUUGGGACCUGUAAUGAAAAGUUUAAGAGCAAAUGAAACCUGCAACAAGAAUAUACACAUACUCCUAGAAAAGCAGAUGGCUGAACGGUGACAUUAUAGAACUUGAGGCUUCAAACUCUAACUUUUUUUGUUACUACAACUUAUAAAAAUAUGCAUUUCCAUAAUUUAGCAUUAAGAAUAAUACAGUGUACAAGCAAACGGCAAUAAAAAUACAUGGAUUUACCUUCA